rnacentral:misc_RNA from 1 species
ACCGACGACGGCGAUUACAACAUCAAGAUGCGCAACAUCCGCCGCUUCCUGGAAGACGGCGACAAGUGUAAAAUCACGCUUCGCUUCCGCGGCCGCGAGAUUACGCACCAGGAGAUCGGCAUGGCCCUGCUCCAGCGCAUUCGCGAUGAACUGGGUGACAGCAUCACGGUCGAGUCCUUCCCCAAACUGGAAGGCCGCCAGAUGAUCAUGAUGAUCGCCCCCGGCCGCAAGAAGCCGGCUGCAGCCAAGCCGGCGGCAACUGCUGCCGAAGAAGGCCAGCAGUAAAUUCCUGAACAAGGUUCGAAGGCAGGACGCGCAAGCGCCCUG